AUGGGCAGGAAGAAGAAAAAGCAAAUGAAGCCUUGGUGUUGGUACUGUAACAGAGAUUUCGACGAUGAAAAAAUUCUUAUCCAGCACCAGAAAGCCAAACACUUCAAGUGCCACAUCUGCCAUAAGAAACUGUACACCGGCCCCGGGCUCGCAAUCCACUGUAUGCAGGUACAUAAAGAGACCAUUGAUGGAGUUCCUAAUGCAAUACCUGGAAGAACAGAUAUCGAGCUGGAGAUAUACGGGAUGGAGGGUAUUCCAGAGAAAGACAUGGAAGAGAGAAGGAGGAUGUUGGAGCAGAAGAACCAAGAGACUCAGAAGAAGAAGCAGAACCAGGAUGACUCUGAUGAAUAUGAAGACGAUGAUGAGCCCGGUCCCUCCUUUCAGCAUCCUGCUGCAGGACAGCUGCGGGCAGGUUUUGUCCCCCCUAUGACCCAGCCUGGUAUGCUUCCUCAUGGAUCUGGGGCCCCAGGAAUGCCGCCAGGCAGCUACUCAGGAAUUCCCCCGAUGAUGCCAGGCGUGCCACCUAUGAUGCCAGGAACGCCCCCUGUCAUGCCGGGAAUGCCUCCAGGGAUGAUCCCAAUGGGUGGGAUGAUGCCACCGAUGAUGCCAGGUGUGCCACCAGGCAUUCCUCCUCCAGUCGGUAACCGUCCAGCCAUCACACACAUGCCUCAGGUCCCCCCUGCUGCAGGUGUGCUGCCCAGACCUACAGUUCCUGCUGCCACUGCCCCCUCAGUGCAACCUGAUGUCACAAAACCUCUUUUCCCGAGUGCUGGACAGAUGGGCAGUCGAGUUGCAACUACAAGUACAGCCUCACCAAGUGCAGACACUCAGUGUGCUUCCCCUAAAGCUCUGUUCCCUAUCACUUCACAAAGUCAGCAGACAGUGUCGGGGUCCCCUCACACUCCCCCCUCCACCACCUCUGACCUCUCAAAGCCCACAUUCCCAGCCUACACUCAGGCCACCGCCGCUUUGGCCAGCCCUAAUGCUGGCAGCAGUACGGUCUCCAAACCUCCCUCCACCGUGACGAGUAAGCCUGCCACACUCACCACCUCCAGUGCAACCAGUAAGUUGAUCCACCCCGAUGAGGAUAUCUCACUGGAAGAGUUGCGGGCUCAGUUGUCCCAGUACCAGUGCAGUAUUCCCCGCCAAAGCCAGACCACCAGUGCUGCACCAUCAAUGGGUCCUGUGGGUGGCAUGAUGGCUCCUCAGCAGCACAACAUGAGGCACCCCGUACCUGGUCAAUAUGGUGGGCCACAGCAGGGGAUGCCAGGGUACAUACCUGGGCGGAUACCUCCAUAUAUUCAGGCCCCUCCCGUUGUUCCCCCAGUUUACCAGGGAGCCCCUCCACGGCCGCCCAUUGUCGCGAGACCCCCUGUCAUGUCUCCUGGAGGCCACUACUGAAGUCUGCUUCCUCUCAUCAGUGUGUAGAAGUGUAGUAGAUAUGGUUCGUAGUGUUGUGAAGGCGCUGGAGUUACAUGGGCAGUACGCACCCUUUAUCAAGCAAUGCCAUGGGGGACUGGCUGAGGCCCUGUCUCAGUGUAGCCCUGUUUCAGCCUGAGGCAAGUCUCACUGUUUUCUGUCUUCUCAUUCAUUAACAGGGGCCCUCACAGCUUACACGCUGUUGGAUAUCAGUGUCCCCAAACUUGUAGCAAGUUUGGUGAAGGCCCUUGUUUGUGUUGUUGCGUUUAGGCAUGUUAACUCAUGUAAGCAAUAUUCCUUUCUUUCUUAUUAAGCUAUAUCUGCCUUGUCCUCCAUUAUUUACUGGUGAAGCUCUUCAUUGGUCUGCCUGACCCUAGGACCAGAGACCUUACUAUCCUGUUGUGGGUCUUUGAACAGUUUGUGUAAUAUUUGAAUGGAUCGGAGAAAAUCAGCUGUGAUCAGACAGCACAGAUCAUGAUGGAAGUGCUGGACAAAGUGAUCUGUAGUAAAUGACCUGUGAGAACGAGUAUCCCUGUACAGCCAUAACCAUGGAACAAGCUAUAGUUCAAAAGAAAAAUUGUUAGUGCUGCUUUUAAAAUGAGUCCAUUAGCCAUGCUGUUUCUAUCAGCAAGAGAGGGAAACAAAAAUCAGCUUUCUUGGCAAAGAAAUACAUCUCAGCCAGGCACAGCAGCGAAAGCUAGCAUUAAAUUAGGUAACAAUACAAAGUUUUAUCUUAACCACCUUAAAAUUCAUGAUUACUUUUUAACAGAAGUCAGCUGUGAACACCGAUGCAGUCCAUUUCUCCUGGUGGGGUUUGGGUUGGUAAUUUCUUGGUUCUGCAUCCCAUCUUUUAAAUAACAGCUGCGUCUAGUUUGAUUGACAGGUAGAAAAAGGACCUGGAAGUUGGGUAGGAAUCUUUGGACCCAUGAAGAUCUCUGCUGGUGAGACCAUCAGGAUGCUCUCUUUUCUUUUAUGUCUUUUAAGUAUAGAGCUUUUAAAUGUGUUUUACCAUUAUUUAUAAUAUGCAAGGCUGGGUUCAAGGCCUAAACAUGUACGUUCUACACUAGCACCACCAUUUGUAGUUAACAUGUGGCAGGAAGUUUGAAUGAAUAAAUGACUUUACACCUGUUCCUAAAAUGGUUUUACCACUUAAUCCUGUUUGUUUUAUCAGCUUUCCUCACUUGAUCAUUUGAAUUUAACUACUUAUAUGAAGGAGAAUCUCUGCCAGUAGCAGGUUAGUUAAAGCAGUAAGUACCACUAAAUAAUUUUGGUGUACAUCAAGUUAUAUUUAGUAUGCACAUACAACAUCUUGAUGUCUGACAUGUACAUUCUUCCAAAAAAAACUCAUGCCUCAUAAAUUGGAAAGUAAUUUUCUGUUGGUUUGUAGCACUGUUUUUUCUCACUACUACCAAUGAAUGGUAGUAGUGAGAAAAAAAUUCAGUAAAAUGUUUACUUCUUGAUGUAUACAAUUUCAUGAAAAAAGAUUGGUUUGGAUUUAUUGCAUAACUUGCAAAAAAAUAUGGUAUUGGGCUAAAUGUACUUCAGAAGAGUUAGAUUGAAAACUGAAGCUAUGUAACAUGUUUUACAGAUGUUUU